ACAAUGGGCGCAAGCCUGAUGCAGCCAUGCCGCGUGUAUGAAGAAGGCCUUCGGGUUGUAAAGUACUUUCAGCAGUGAGGAAGGUGGGUAUGUUAAUAGCAUAUUCAUUUGACGUUAGCUGCAGAAGAAGCACCGGCUAACUCCGUGCCAGCAGCCGCGGUAAUACGGAGGGUGCGAGCGUUAAUCGGAAUUACUGGGCGUAAAGCGCAUGCAGGUGGUUUGUUAAGUCAGAUGUGAAAGCCCGGGGCUCAACCUCGGAAUUGCAUUUGAAACUGGCAAACUAGAGUACUGUAGAGGGGGUAGAAUUUCAGGUGUAGCGGUGAAAAUGCGUAGAGAUCUGAAGGAAUACCGGUGGCGAAGGCGGCCCCCUGGACAGAUACUGACACUCAGAUGCGAAAGCGUCGGGGAAGCCAAACAGGAUUACGUAUACCCUCGGUCG
rnacentral:rRNA from 1 species